GUAGCCCUCUGCGUCCAGGUCUCCGGCCGCUGCUUUCCGGCACACCUUCCCCGGUGCCGGAGCGCAGCGGCGGGGGCCCUGGACGCAGAGUCGCAGCGGC
rfam:Dermacoccus sp. PE3 Contig2, whole genome shotgun sequence.